rnacentral:rRNA from 1 species
UUGAGCGAUUUACUUCGGUAAAGAGCGGCGGACGGGUGAGUAACGCGUGGGUAACCUACCCUGUACACACGGAUAACAUACCGAAAGGUAUGCUAAUACGGGAUAACAUAUUUGAGAGGCAUCUCUUAAAUAUCAAAGGUGAGCCAGUACAGGAUGGACCCGCGUCUGAUUAGCUAGUUGGUAAGGUAACGGCUUACCAAGGCGACGAUCAGUAGCCGACCUGAGAGGGUGAUC